GUGGAUUAGAUACCCUGGUAGUCCACGCCGUAAACGUUGGGCACUAGGUGUGGGGAGGAAUCAACCCUUUCUGUGCCGUAGCUAACGCAUUAAGUGCCCCGCCUGGGGAGUACGGCCGCAAGGCUAAAACUCAAAGGAAUUGACGGGGGCCCGCACAAGCGGCGGAGCAUGUUGCUUAAUUCGAGGCAACGCGAAGAACCUUACCUAGGUUGAACUACGCAGGAAAAGCCACAGAGAUGUGGUGUCCUUCGGGGUCUGCGAUAGGUGGUGCACGGCCGUCGCCAACU
rnacentral:rRNA from 1 species